rnacentral:rRNA from 1 species
GACGAACGCUGGCGGCGUGCUUAACACAUGCAAGUCGAACGGAAAGGCCCUGCUUUUGUGGGGUGCUCGAGUGGCGAACGGGUGAGUAACACGUGAGUAUCCUGCCCUUGACUUUGGGAUAACUUCAGGAAACUGGGGCUAAUACCGGAUAGGAGCUCCUGCUGCAUGGUGGGGGUUGGAAAGUUUCGGCGGUUGGGGAUGGACUCGCGGCUUAUCAGUUUGUUGGUGGGGUAGUGGCUUACCAAGCCUUUGACGGGUAGCCGGCCUGAGAGGGUGACCGGCAACAUUGGGACUGAGGUACGGACCAGACUCCUACGGGAGGCAGCAGUGGGGAGUAUUGCACAAUGGGCGGAAGCCUGAUGCAGCAACGACGCGUGCGGGAUGACGGCCUUCGGGUUGUAAACCGCUUUCGCCUGUGACGAAGCGUGAGUGACGGUAAUGGGUAAAGAAGCACCGGCUAACUACGUG